rnacentral:rRNA from 1 species
AGUGAACGCUGGCGGUAGGCCUAACACAUGCAAGUCGAACGGCAGCACAGUAAGAGCUUGCUCUUACGGGUGGCGAGUGGCGGACGGGUGAGGAAUACAUCGGAAUCUACUUUUUCGUGGGGGAUAACGUAGGGAAACUUACGCUAAUACCGCAUACGACCUACGGGUGAAAGCAGGGGAUCUUCGGACCUUGCGCGAUUGAAUGAGCCGAUGUCGGAUUAGCUAGUUGGCGGGGUAAAGGCCCACCAAGGCGACGAUCCGUAGCUGGUCUGAGAGGAUGAUCAGCCACACUGGAACUGAGACACGGUCCAGACUCCUACGGGAGGCAGCAGUGGGGAAUAUUGGACGAUGGGCGAAAGCCUGAUCCAGCCAUACCGCGUGAGUGAAGAAGGCCUUCGGGUUGUAAAGCCCUUUUGUUGGGAAAGAAAAGCAGCAGGUUAAUACCCCGCUGUUCUGACGGUACCCAAAGAAUAAGCACCGGCUAACUUCGUG